ACUUCCUGCAGAAAUCCUCCAGCCCUGUUAGAAAUGGCUCAGCCAAGGGGACUCAUCUCCCCAAACCCAGGGAACCAAGACCUACGAGAGACCACAGCGUGAACUAGGACAGCAGAGGUACCCAGACAUGGUUAUGAACUCCACGUGUGUCCCUGGUGGACACUGCUGGACCCAGCAUGCAUGCUUCUCUGAACCCCCAUUGCCAGUGGGGAGCAUGAGGCAGCUUUCCCACACAGUGGGUGAGAACCAGGGUUAAGGCCAUUGUGUGGGAGGCGUCUGUGUGGCAACGGCGGGCAUCACUAAUGCAGAGGACAAAGCAAACAAGCAAAAAAACUCCUGGAAGAAGCACAGAAUUUCAGACCUAGAAAGAAGCUGAAAAAUUAUCCAUUCUGCUCUCCUCAUUUUACAGAUGAGGGCAUGGAGCCUCAGAGAAAUGAACUUGCCCAUGACCACACAGCAAGUGAGUGGGGGACUCGUGACCCAAGACAUUUUUUUCCAGGCUCCCUUGUACCACAUCACGCUGCAGAAAACCCAGCAGAUGGGAAGAGCUGAGGCAUGUGGUUACCAUUUCUGUAUUACAUCCAACUCGUAUUUCAUUUAGAAAAUGUAUUUCUAGAACUUUUUUAAAAACCUGAAUGAUUUCAAUUGAAGUUUUUCAAAACUAGGAUGACUACUACUUCUAAUUGAUAUCAAGUUCAAAUUUUUAACAUAUUUUGUUUAAUUUUGCCCCUCCCCUGAAAAUAUCCAAAGUAUUGAAUGCCCAGGUUUCCUGUUUGGAAAAGCCCAAGGAUCUGAGCAUAUUCUGGGCUACUCUUGCCCAGCACCCAACCAGGGUACUGGACCUGGCCUGAUGCUGCUCUCUGCUGCUGCCCAGCUCUUCCACUCCACCCGCAACACUGUACCCAGUUAAUCAUUAGGGCCCUUUUCUCUGUACAAUUCUGUAAUAUAAUUCGAUAAAAUAAUCCAUGCUAACAAAAGUCUAGAAUGGAA